rfam:Beta vulgaris subsp. vulgaris contig102703.1, whole genome shotgun sequence.
GCGCCCGUAGCUCAGCUGGAUAGAGCGUUGCCCUCCGAAGGCAAAGGUCGUGCGUUCGAAUCGCGCCGGGCGCG